rnacentral:lncRNA from 1 species
CUAAAACAUCACAUGGCCGGCCAUCCCCUUAAGCUUUCAACCUUCCCUAUCUUUUCCCACUUUACUACCCCAAUUAAGCUAGCUAAUUGAUUCUAUAACCAUCCAUUUAUUCCCUUUAUGUUUAAUUAGCAAAUUUAUCAUAAUAAAUUGGCUAAUUAAACCUAAAUUAAACCUAAAAAUCCUAGCCACCUCCUAUCCCUAUAAAUAUACUCCCAUUCUCACCAAAAAGCUAAUUCCAACACUUUGGCAAAAAUCCCAAAAUUCUCUAAACACUCUUUCUCUCUAAAUUUUAACUUUGGCAUCGGAGGUUCUUCGGCCAAAGCCCCCCCCAUUCAUUGUGGGGCGCGUGAGGCUCUUGGCCUUAACCUAAGGUGUUAAUUGUUUUUGUAGGUGCAAAAUCGUCCAAGAUCGAGGAGGAAGAAAUUUGCAUCCACAAAUUGGUGCUUUCAUUGAGAGUUGAAAUCCAUACUCGUAGAAGACUCUCGCACAAAAAGGUUUUUUCUUUAUUUUUUAGUCCAUUUGAAUAUUUUUCAUACGUUCUUAUUAUUAGAAUUUUUUACUUGCAAAGGUUCUUUAAUAAAACGUAUAAGCAAAAUAUAAUGGCUAGAAAUUUAGAAAAUUCCACAAAUGAAAAUUCUAAUAUACAAGAAAUGGGAUUGCGGAGAUCCAUGAGGCAAAAUGCGACAAUAAGGGGAGCGGCAUCACCACCACGAGUUUCCACCAUGGGAACCACCGCGGUGGCUACCUCGGUAGCCACCCACGGCGAGGUCCAUGGUGCCUUCACCACGACCACCAUGGGAACCACCGCGGUGGCUACUUCGGUAGCCAUUCGUGGCGAGGUCCAUGGAGCUUUCACCACGGCCCGAGCCCUGCCAUCCAAGGCUCACGGUACCAAGACCACGACCCAAGCCGUGCCAUCCAAGUUUACGUGGACCCAAGCCCAAGCCUCGCAUUCACAUGCACCGCGCAUUGAGCAGCCUGCUUUCGUUGAGCAGCCCACUCCCGUGGCCCAGCCUGCUCUCGUGACCCAGCCUGCUCCCGACGAGUAGCCCACUCCCGUGGUCCAGCCUGCUCCCGACGAGCAGCCCACUCUCGUGGUCCAGCCUGCUUCCGUCGAGCAGCCCAAUCCCGUGGCCCAGCCUACUUCCGCCAAGCAACUUGCUCUCGCGGCCCAGCCUGCUCCUGCCAAGCAGCUUGCUCUCGUGACCCAGCCUGCUCCCGACGAGCAGCCCACUCCCGUGGUCCAGCCUGCUUCCAUCAAGCAGCCCACUCCCGUGGCCCAGCCUGCUCCUGCCAAGCAGCCUGUUCUCGUGACCCAACCUGCUCCCGACGAGCAGCCCACUCUCGUGGUCCAGCCUGCUUCCGUCAAGCAGCCGACUCCCGUGGCCCAACCUGCUUCCGUCGAGCAGCCUAUUCCCGUGGCCCAGCCUGCUCCUGCCAAGCAGCCUGCUUUCAUGACCCAGCCUGGUCCCGACGAGCAGCCCACUCUCACUGUCUAUCCUGCUCCAGUGGCUUUCCAAGCAGCCCAAGUCGGCCCAAGACUAUCUCAACCAUCCGGACCUACCAUCGAACCGGGGGCAUUCUCACCACAUUUUUUCGCGGAUUUGACAUUUCCCAACUCAAAUCUCGCGCCCGAAGUCUACCACCCUUUCACUGCCCAAGGAAGCGCAUUCCUUCCAAGCUCUUCCAAUCCAAAUGGCGAACAACACUUGUCUCGACAAGUCAUAGAGUUGACGAGCGCCCUUGCACAACAGACAACCUUGGUGAAUCAACUUUUGCAACACAUUGGGAUCCAACGUGCCCCGGACGAGGUAUCCCGAAGUAGGACAAGGGCAGACGGACAUUUCCAGCAGUGUCCCGGCAAGCAGCCACGAGCCGAACGUUUGGGCAGUGUACAUUCCCGUCUUAGAGCGCGAAGGAGCAUGCACUCUCGACUAGGCCCACAGAUGAGCAUACAUUCACGGUUGGGGUUAUACUCCGAUAGUCAACAUGAACAACCUUCCAGGCAAAGUGUCUAUUCGCAGCUAAGCCCACAAGGAGCGUCAUCCACCUCACAUCAGAGUAGGCAGCACGACGGACGGAGAGAAGCAGUCACUCAAUCCAGCUCAAGUUCAACCAGCAACAUGCGAAGAACUCGCUCGCCUACUAGGAACGCAUCACAUGCACUGCAUCUGCGGCAUAGACGAGCCAAACACCUGGAAGAGCAGCCUAGACCAGCAAGUCAUGACUGGGGGCAGCCGAGAGCUCCGCUACCCCAACAAAUGCAAAUUCAGGAAGAAGUAGAGAGACUCUUGACUAAGCGAUUGCAUGAUUUCCAACGCAACGAGGUCACCGACGAGGCACUAUGACGGAACAUAACCAACAUAAGCAGGUCACCCUUCACGGAGGAGAUUGAGUAGGCAGAGCCUCCACGCGAGUUCAGCAUGCCACAUUUCACAUCUUUCAAAGGGGAUGAAGACCCGAAGAGACACUUAAAACGUUACCAAAGUGCAAUGAUCCUUUAUCGAAACAACGAUGAUCUCAUGUGCAAGAUAUUCGCCACCACUCUACAAGGCGAGGCGCAAGAUUGGUUCUACACCCUGCCGCCACAAUCCAUCCGGAAUUUCUACGAACUUUCUUUGGUUUUCACCAAAGAAUAUUCAUCCUAUAGCUCGAUCAAAAAGAAGUCUGACCAUUUGUUCGACGUCAAGAAGAACCUAAAGGAGUCGCUUCGCGACUAUGUGAGGAGGUUCAAAGUAGAGAAGGCAAAAAUAGUCGGAUGCAACGACUCGAUAGUUAGAGCAGCCUUCCAAAAAGGACUUCCAGCAGACCACCCGCUAUUCGGAAAAUUGAUCAUGAAAGAAUAUCUAACUCUGGCAUACUCUUUUGCUUUAGCAGAGAAGCAUGCACUUUGGGAUGAGGCUCGCCAAUGCACAUUCAAGGACUUGAAGAAGUACCCGACAUCACCUCCCUAGAAGCAGCGGAUGACUUAUUCGCAUGUUUGACGGUAUCUAAAGUAGCAAUAAGCUCUACCAUCAUGCGAGAAGAGCUGGGGGCCCGACUACCUGUAUUCUACAGUUUACUUGCAGUCAUCAUCAUGACGCACUAUUCCGCCGAAUCCAAACCGGCGACGAUAAAGGCGUAGACCCUGGCAGAUGCAAAGUUUUCUGACGAACGCAACAACUCGGCCCAACGAUGCCCCGAAGGCAGUCGAGCACACUUUAGCUGCACAUAUUCCCUUAAUGGAGAUUUCUGGCAUUCGCAUGUCAACGACGCAUCCAACUACAAAGGCUUGCGAGCAGCCGUGGUUCGUGGCAACCGACUACUUCACCAAAUAGGUGGAAGCAGAGCCCAUGGCGACCACGAUUCAGACGGACAUAGAGCGCUUCAUAUGGAGGAACAUCAUUUACCGAUUUGGCAUCCCUUAAUCCAUCGGCACCAACAACGGCCUGCAAUUCGUGGGCAAAGAUUUGGCGAAGUUCUUUAAAAAAUAUGGCAUCAAGCAGCAUAUGUCCAUGCCGAGAUAUCCUCAAGGCAAUAGACAGGCCGAAACAUCCAAAAAGAUGGAUCUCAUCUGGGAAGGUCCGUACAAGCUCAGCAGAAUAGGCGGUAAGAGUAAUUAUACCCCCGCUACCAUGAAACGAUAAAAAGAUCGAAAAGUAGUGGAGCGCCUACAAUCUGAAGAAGUACCAUGUGUGACCUCCGACUACAUCAAAGCCCGAAGACUUAAGAAGCUCGACGGGCACCACCUCACAAGUCGAGGACUAUCCAGUUGUUAUGCAGUUCCUACCUUACAGCUAAGUUCUUGUUCGUUUCACUCGUUUUUCAAUGAGGAAUUCAGAAGUAAUCACAACUUGGCUCGGCUGCAUGCUUACAACAAGUGAUCACUCCAGCACUUCAAAAGAAGACUGUGCCCUUCUUAGGGACCCAUCGCAGGAAUUGCACCCCCCGAGGGACCAACCAUGCUCUCCAGUGCGAGAGGGUAAACUAAUUGCUCUCCAGUGCGAAAGGGUAAACCAAUUCCCCGACACCCAUAUGGGUCAGCUCUCCAAGACGGGAGGAUAAACUUUACACUUCGAAUAUCCAGACGUGGAUGAGCCUGGCUGUCUUAGUAUAACUAGAUGCACGAUGGCUUGCGCCGGGAUUCCUAGAAGUAGCCGCAAUGGUCUUUUUCAAGGCUUAGCUAACUGAAGGAUUUUGGGUCUCUUGGCCUAAUCCGUGGGGAACCGGGCCCUAGAGACGGAGAUGGCACAUUACGCAGUACAUCCGAUGGACGGCUGCCCUGGAAUCCUAAAGCUGCUACCGAGUGCACUAAGAUAGCCUACGGAUUCCGGAAGAUUGCCUACGGCUUGCCCUUCGAGCAGUAAAGCCGCGCUAGACUUAUACAACCGCACAUUCUUGUGAAAGGUUAAACACGCUAGCGCGCAUAUACGAAGUUUUAUCCACUGCCGACAUGCUACGUAGUCGAUAAGCUUCAUCUCUGCCAAGCGCGGAACAACCUACACCAAGUCCUAAAGUGUUGUGAUACUUGCUACGCAACCUACGGAAUUGAAGAAAGUCAAGGUUAACAGCCUAGUGGUUACGCGAACUUGUCUUCUUCUGUAAGUAAGGCAUCCGGUUGCCAACCCUAUGGCUAACAACUUUGCAAAGUUCUACACCAACACCUACGGCUGCAUAGGCUACGCGAGCUUGUCUGCUUAUAAAAAAGUAACAUGCCUGCCACUGGUCUAUCAAGUCUAAAGGUUAGGGCAUGAACAAAAGAAGUGAAGAUGAAGAAAAACGAAGGAAAACAUGUUUAUAAACAACUAGCAAAGGCCGAAGGAGUUCAAGCAAAACAAGAGCUACAAGGAAAAACAAAGAAAAUCCUAAAGGCUACCUAAAAUACUACACUACAGCAGCUUGGACAUCCCACGACUACUCGGUCGCCACACCUUCAACAGCCGUAACACUCUUAGCAACGGCAUCAUCCGGCGCUUCACCCCCGGCUGCCCCAGUCUGGGCACUAACUUCUCCAACUACUUCACCAAUGGAAGCCUUAAAAGUAAGCAAGCAAGUCUUUCGGAGAAAUAGAGAAGGUCUUAAAACCUCAAGCCCAUCAUUCUCACCCUUCAGCUGCUCAUUCUUCUUAAGCAGACUAACACAGACGCGCUGCAGCUCAUCCACUCCCUUCUUAGCAUAAGCAGCGAAACGAAGCUCAGAAAUUGCAAGCUUAAGAUCUUGAAUAUGAGGCGAAUCAAUCUCAGCAGCAAAGGAAGCAGGCUUUGGCGCCACUUUAGCAGCAGAGUCCACCUUACCACUCUUCAUAAUAGCAAGUCUCUACAAAGGUGAACCGGACUUGGCUCCCAAAGAACGUCCUGGUACAGACUUCGGCACUGGGGGCAUGAUAAAACCUUUACGUUGAGCAAUCUUAUCCACAAUUGUACUAGCCAUUCUCAACAUGGAAGACGCCACAUGCUCAGAUCUAGCAGCCUUAUUUUUCUUCCCAUUAGAAGAAGUCAUGUCAAUCACAUACCUCUCGGUAGCAAGCGGACCCUUAUGAGCAGCAGAAGAAGUCUUCAGUUUUUUCUUAACUAGGCAUCUCAUGAGCAGGCGGGGAAGAUCUCUUCUUUCCAUCUUCAUUCAUAGUAAGCUCCACGACAGCGAUCAGACGAGCCAAUGCAUCCGCCUUGAUCCUCUUUACCUCAUCUUUCUGGAGCAGCCCACAUUUCUUUCAGCAAAGAAGACUAAGCAGCCAACGAAAUUCAUGGUACUCAGCAGGGGAGCUCAACCCAGCAUUCCAGCAGGCAGAAGGCCUGCAUGCCCAACAUUCUAGCAGCCCAUGAGACCCGCAAUCUCCUUAUUUCUCUCAAUCGCCAGCCUGGCCCGAGUCAGGUCCAAGAGCCCAAAGGACAUGAGCCAUGCGGCUCGCCUAACACUGUGCCUUAGCGCCACAAUCCUCGACCCCAGCUGCACAAGCUGCCCUUGGCUCAAGCCAAGCCAAGCUGCCCAAGCAGUGGUCCCUGCCACGACAUCUCCUCAGCUCAUGCCGAGCCAGCUCCUGGCCCCUGCUAGCCGACGUGCCGCACCACCCCGACGGCUACCCCGCAAUAGCACUAUCCAAGAAUAAAGCAAGAAAAAUUAAAUUUUUCUUACAUUGGUGCGGCACGAAGAAGACGAAGAAAGCAACGAAAGACGGUCAUUUGCACGGGCAAGAUGUAGAAGAUUGCUAGAGGAGGGGGAACAAAUAUCCUCUAAGCUAUCUCUCUCUUGUAGGGUAGAAUAAAUCGCUCUCCAAAGUUGAUUUAAUAACCCACUUAAGGUGGACUUAAAUAGGCUUUGAGAGAAAUUUAUUUCCCUUUCCUAGAAGGAUCUAAUUUCCUAUUAAAGAGAGAAUCUACAUCAAAAUAGGAAGCAGUCCUAAGUUUCCUAAAGCAAGAAAAUCUCUACACCUGCCGCCCUUUUCUGCGAGUAGCCCAACAGGUGUGGGGGCAUUUGUGGAGCCAAAAAUAUUCACAAGGCGACACAUGGGUUUUUUGGACAAAAAGGAAAAAAAUACCCUUGCAGUACAACGAGGUUCCUACGUGCAAGCAGCGGGCAACCCUCUUUCAACCAAGACAGAAGUGCUCAAAAUAGGUAACAAUUCAAAGUCCAUCUCAUCAAAUCCUUUCUACAAGGUAAUUCCCAAACACAUUCCUUUUAAAUUAUGUUAAUUGGCUAAUUAAUGGGUUUAUUGCCUAAUUAACCCAUUAAUUCUCAAUUAAACCAUCCAUUAUAUCCAAAUAACCACAAAAUACAACCAAUUCAACCCUAAAACAUCACAUGGCCGGCCAUCCCCUUAAGCUUUCUACCUUCCCUAUCUUUUCCCACUUUACUACCCCAAUUAAGCUAGCUAAUUGAUUCUAUAACCAUCCAUUUAUUCCCUUUAUGUUUAAUUAGCAAAUUUAUCAUAAUAAAUUGGCUAAUUAAACCUAAAUUAAACCUAAAAACCCUAGCCACCUCCUAUCCCUAUAAAUAUACUCCCAUUCUCACCAAAAAGCUAAUUCCAACACUUUGGCAAAAAUCCCAAAAUUCUCUAAACACUCUUUCUCUCUAAAUUCUAACUUUGGCAUCAGAGGUUCUUCGGCCAAAGCCCCCCCCCCCAUUCAUUGUGGGCGCGUGAGGCUCUUGGCCUUAACCUAAGGUGUUAAUUGUUUUGUAGGUGCAAAAUCGUCCAAGAUUGAGGAGGAAGAAAUUUGCAUCCACAUUAUGGUUUAGUGAUAUUUUUCUUUACUUAUAAGUGAGAGAUCUUAAGUUGAAUUUUCAGCAAAGACGAAUUUGAACCAAAUUAUUGUUAGCCCAUUGUGAAGUUAAGUUCACUCCCUCCUCCUUAGUGUAGAUCGUUUGUUCAAAAAAAAAAAUAUCAACAACGUGGGUAAUAAAUAUGAGCAAAGUGGGGUAAUUAAAAGUAUACAAAUGGUGGGGUAAAUAAAUAUCCCCAAAAUGGAUAAUAAAUGUGGGGAAAUUUGGAAAAAUAACCAAAUUUUAAAUCUCAUAUAGAAUUAUAACCACUAUUUUAAUUUUAUGAUAAUUAUAACCAAAACUUGAUAUAAAAGUAUUAAUAUACCCUUAAUACUAAGGUUUCUCAUAACAACCACAAACACAACCUUUAAACUACCUUAAAAUGUUGAGGAUUACUGCAGAUUGAGGCCACCGAAUUAACUUUCUCUUUAAUUAGCAAGACAACCUAUGAGAAUGUUCUUCAGAAGGUACUAAUUCCAUAGCUAAUUAUUAUUUUUGUAAUUAGGUACUUCGAUUUAGUGUUUCACUAAUUAAAUUGCAUACAUUCCAAUAUAUUUUUCCAGUGGAUGAAGAAAGAAUAUGAAAUUGCAUAUGCAAAGUGAAUAGUGAAAACAAAAAAGUGAUGAAGAUUAAUUUCUCAUUUUAGGAUAGUUUAAAGGUUUGUUUUGGUUGUUGUGAGAAACCCUAAUAUUAAGGGUAUAUUAGUACUUUUACAUCAAGUUUUUGUUAUAAUUAUCAUAAAAUUAAUAUGGUGGCUAUAAUUCUAUAUGGGGUCUAAAAUUUGGUUAUUUUUCCAAAUUUCCCAUAAAUGUGAGCAAAGUGGGGUAAUUAAAAGUAUAGAAAAACAAAAGUAAAUAGAAAAGAAGAUGGUGGGAUAAAUAAAUAUCAGCAAAGUGGGUAAUAAAUGUGAGCAAAGUGGGUAAUUAAAAUUAUAGAAAAACGAAAAGUAAACAAAAAUGAAGAUUGUGAUGUAAAUAAAUAUCCUCAAAGUGGGUAAUAGAUGUGGGCAAAGUGGGGUAAUUAAAAGUAUAGAAAAACUAAAAAAGAAAAAGAAGGAAAGAUGGUAGGGUAAAUAAAUAUCAGUAAAGUGUGUUAAUAAAUGUCAACAAAGAGGGGUAAUAAAAAUAUACAAAAAAAAAAAAACCUAGUCGUCUUCAUCUUCUUUGUUGGGCAAGCUCUGCAACUCAAAAAAUUCCAAAUUUCUGUAACUUAAAAAAAAGAAAAGGAUGCCCAGUCAAACGUUUGAGAUGCGUCCCGACCUAGGUGAGCAUUUCGCUGACUCUCACAACACAGAGAUGAAAAUGUUGUCGCCUUGCCUCCAAGGGCACCUAAGCGCGCCCCAAGGCGAGUUUUUUGAAACACUGUAAAAUUAAAAACAAAUUUUCUUUAAAGAGGAAAAGAGACAUACUUUGGGAAGCGGAUCCUUUUCUUUUAUUUUUCCUCUUCUUUUAGGCUCCUUCUGUGGAGGAUGAUAUUCAAAGCAAGCACCAAUGGCAAUACUUGUCCUUCCUCUAUCAUGCACAAAAAAAUGGAAAAACAAAUCAAAAUAUGGGAUGACGUAGUAGUUAUAUUACUUAAGCAAAAGUUACAGAAGUUAAAAAGCUUGUUAGAAAUCAAGCAAAUGGAUGCCAGCCAAGACAUCUUCUCACCACUAAUCACAUACUAAGCAAACCCAAAUCACAUAACCCAGAAGCAAAAACAAAAGGUACGUCGAGCGAAAGCGGCAGAUAUGAGAUCGAUAAAGCAAGGCAAAAAUAUGAAAAAUACAGAAACCCAAGCAAUCACAAUACUGGUUAGGCAUUAGCCUACGUCCAGUUCGGAGACGGAGGAGAAAUUCCUGUAAGGUCCCAAAUCCCAAACAAACCAGAACCCAGGUUCCAAAUCAACUCUCACACAGAUGAUCCAAGAACAAUGCUUAGAUUCUUGCUCGCAGAUAAAUACAGAAAAGAGAUCAAAGGGCAGCUAUUACAUAGAGAUUAAUACCAUCAAAUAAAAGGGACCAAAAAGCAGAACCAACCCAAAAGUGCAGCUGCUGCGCAACGAACCAAACUUUGGGUGAUGUGGCCAAUUAACAUCCGUUGAGCACUUUCUGUCAAAUAGUUCUUGAGCCCAAAAUACCAGAUAACCAGUAUCAACUUUCUGUGAA